AGUGAACGCUGGCGGUAGGCCUAACACAUGCAAGUCGAACGGCAGCACAGUAAGAGCUUGCUCUUACGGGUGGCGAGUGGCGGACGGGUGAGGAAUACAUCGGAAUCUACUUUUUCGUGGGGGAUAACGUAGGGAAACUUACGCUAAUACCGCAUACGACCUACGGGUGAAAGCAGGGGAUCUUCGGACCUUGCGCGAGUGAAUGAGCCGAUGUCGGAUUAGCUAGUUGGCGGGGUAAAGGCCCACCAAGGCGACGAUCCGUAGCUGGUCUGAGAGGAUGAUCAGCCACACUGGAACUGAGACACGGUCCAGACUCCUACGGGAGGCAGCAGUGGGGAAUAUUGGGCAAUGGGCGAAAGCCUGAUCCAGCCAUACCGCGUGAGUGAAGAAGGCCUUCGGGUUGUAAAGCCCUUUUGUUGGGAAAGAAAAGCAGCAGGUUAAUACCCCGCUGUUCUGACGGUACCCAAAGAAUAAGCACCGGCUAACUUCGUG
rnacentral:rRNA from 1 species